rnacentral:rRNA from 1 species
UACGUAGGGUGCGAGCGUUAAUCGGAAUUAUUGGGCGUAAAGAGCUCGUAGGCGGUCUGUCGCGUCGGCUGUGAAAUCCCGAGGCUCAACCUCGGGUCUGCAGUCGAUACGGGCAAACUGGAGUGUUGCAGGGGAGACUGGAAUUCCUGGUGUAGCGGUGAAAUGCGCAGAUAUCAGGAGGAACACCGGUGGCGAAGGCGGGUCUCUGGGCAACAACUGACGCUGAGGAGCGAAAGCGUGGGGAGCGAACAGG